rnacentral:rRNA from 1 species
UUUCCGGUUGAUCCCGCCGGAGGCCACUGCUAUCGGGGUCCGAAUAAGCCAUGCGAGUCAAGGGGCUCCCUUCGGGGAGCACCGGCGCACGGCUCAGUAACACGUGGCUAACCUACCCUCGGGUGGGGGAUAACCUCGGGAAACUGAGGCUAAUCCCCCAUAGGGGAGGAGGUCUGGAAUGAUCCCUCCCCGAAAGGCGUAAGCCGCCCGAGGAUGGGGCUGCGGCGGAUUAGGUAGUUGGUGGGGUAACGGCCCACCAAGCCUACGAUCCGUACGGGCCCUGAGAGGGGGAGCCCGGAGAUGGACACUGAGACACGGGUCCAGGCCCUACGGGGCGCAGCAGGCGCGAAACCUCCGCAAUGCGCGAAAGCGCGACGGGGGGACCCCGAGUGCCCACGCUCUGCGUGGGCUUUUCCGGAGUGUAAACAGCUCCGGGAAUAAGGGCUGGGCAAGUCCGGUGCCAGCAGCCGCGGUAAUACCGGCGGCCCAAGUGGUGGCCACUGUUAUUGGGCCUAAAGCGUCCGUAGCCGGCCCGGUAAGUCUCUGCUUAAAUCCUGCGGCUCAACCGCAGGGCUGGCAGAGAUACUGCCGGGCUUGGGACCGGGAGAGGCCGGGGGUACCCCAGGGGUAGC